AUUGAACGCUGGCGGCAGGCCUAACACAUGCAAGUCGAGCGGAUGAAGGGAGCUUGCUCCUGGAUUCAGCGGCGGACGGGUGAGUAAUGCCUAGGAAUCUGCCUGGUAGUGGGGGAUAACGUCCGGAAACUGGCGCUAAUACCGCAUACGUCCUGAGGGAGCAAGUGGGGGAUCUUCGGACCUCACGCUAUCAGAUGAUCCUAGGUCGGAUUAGCUAGUUGGUGGGGUAAAGGCCUACCAAGGCGACGAUCCGUAACUGGUCUGAGAGGAUGAUCAGUCACACUGGAACUGAGACAAGGUCCAGACUCCUAAGGGAGGCAGCAGUGGGGAAUAUUGGACAAUGGGCGAAAGCCUGAUCCAGCCAUGCCGCGUGUGUGAAGAAGGUAUUCGGAUUGUAAAGCACUUUAAGUUGGGAGGAAGGGCAGUAAGUUAAUACCUUGCUGUUUUGACGUUACCAACAGAAUAAGCACCGGCUAACUUCGUG
rnacentral:rRNA from 1 species